CUUGUGAUGGGCUUUGGUUCAUCAUGUGACUCUCAUCACCAUCUGCAUUUGGUGGUUAUCAGAGUAUUUCAAAGGUACAAAACAGAUUUCAGUACUUCAAUAGGUGUUUAUUCUGGCAUUUGAUCUACAGUCACACUGUGUUGGUUUGAGCAUAUAUCACUGCCAUGGUUCCUCAGCACCAGAGGUCUGUUGUUCCUGACCCGUUCUUUGGCUUGUAGAGCAGGCCUAGUUCUGCUCGAUCCUUCAGGAAUGCAGGGAGCGGGUCAGCGUGUGGUUUUUCCCUCCUCUCCACUCGGCCUGAAGCGGUAUGUCAGCCUCCACUGAUCCAGAACCGGGAGAAGAGAGUGUUUGUGCUGCAUGUGCGCUUGAAGAAAACGCAGACCGGCUCAGAUUGUUUACCUCCACGCAUUGUUGCGCUACUUUGUGUGUUCGUCACUGUCUGGUCUUGCUUGGCUGAGCCAGAGGCCAUUACAUGCAGUUUGGCUUUCCCACAUUAAAGUUUGUGGUGCGGAAGGUGUUGAAUGUCAACAAAUUGAAGGAACAUUCUGGGUUCAGUAGAAGCUAAAGUGUUAGUUCACCCUAAAAAUGAAAAUUCUGCCAUUAAUUACUCACCCUCAUCUCGUUCCAAACCCGUAAGACCUCCGUUCAUCUUUGAAAUUAAUAUUGAACCACUGAUGUCACUUGGACUAUUUUAACGAUGUCCUUACUACCUUUCUGGGUCUUUAAUGUGUCGGUUACAUUGCCGUCUAUGCAGAGUCAGAAAACUGUUGGAAGUUCUGUUCUGAAGAUGAACGAAGGUCUUACGGGUUUGGAACGACAUGAGGGUGUGUAAUUAUAAUGACAGAAUUUUCAUUUUUGGGUGGACUAUCCCUUUAAGCUCAAUAAACAGCAUUUAUGGCACAAGGUUGAUUACAACAAAAUUAAUUUACUAUUUUUUCGCCUUUUUUUUUAUAACAAUUUGGGUUACAGUGCGAAAUUUACACUUAAAAGUCAAUGGGGCAAAUCCUGAUUUUAUUUAACUAAGUGCAUUGUGGUUCAAACUUUUUGUAAAAAAAAAAAGUACCCAUACUGCAACAAAUUUUUCAAUCAGUAGUGCGCUAUAAUAAGUUGUCACAUUACUUUAUCACGUUGCAUUUUUAAUUUAGCAUGUGAUGUCCCAACACACUUGAUUUAAUGACUGUUUGAUUCGAUUCAUAACUAUUUUACGUUUUGGUAAAUUGACGGCAAAUUCGCAGCUAGUUUAUGUUUUAGUAAAUUGGUGGGGAAUUUGAAUACUUUCACACAAUCUAAUUCAUACAUUUAUUUUUAAUUAAAAAUAAUACAUGCAAUUGUACGAAUUCAUAUGAAAUUGGCAACUCGUAAAACAGUUACCUUUUCUCAUGAGAUUGGAUUGGGUUUUAAUUUAUAUCUUGGAAAUUAAAUGUUGCUAUUUUGCAUUUAAUGCAAUUUUGCAUUUAGCACAAAUUUGUGUAGAAAAAAAUGGCAGUCGAAUGAGAAUUGAAAAAAAUAAUAAACUUGGCCUAUAUUAUGAUAUACUGUAUUUUGAGACAGUUAUUGUUCGCAGUUUGCUCUAUUGUAUAAUAUAAAUUUUGGCAAAUACGUAUAUUAAUUCAUCCAUGUAUUCCAAACAUACAAAAUUUGCAUACUGUUCACAAUUCACAUAUGUACUGCAAAAAUUGUAUUGUUAUAUUAAAUGUUAUAAUUUUAUACUGGC